CUGAGUUACUAAACUCCCAAACCCGUGUGAACUUACCACUGUUGCUUCGGCGGCCACGCCCCGGGAGCCGGCUUCUGGCCGCGCCCCCCGGAGUCAGGCGUCCGCCGGAGGACCUAAACUCUUGAUUUUACAGCGGUCUCUUCUGAGUGGAUUAUACAAAUGAAUCA
rnacentral:misc_RNA from 1 species